ensembl:lncRNA
GUCAUAUGACCAGCAUUGUUCUCCUCACGCGAUAAAGGUUUGUUGAUGACGACAUUUAGUCAUAAUUUUCGGUGUCAAAAGCAACACUAUUUGCAACUACUGGUGGUGGUGGUGGUGGUUAUCAGGUACUAAACUCAUAAAGCAAAAUUUGGCUAUAUAACUCAAGGUUAACCUGCAGCAACCCCGGCAAGUUUGACCACGUCGGUGGAUCAUCUAGAAAACACUCUUGAGUUCGGUGUCACGUUGGUGGCAUAUCAUGGAAAAAAUAAAACUCAAGGUUCGCAGCGGCGACCCCGGUGAGUGCGUUGGCCAAAGCGCAGCGGUAACAACUCGGGCACUCGUGAGUUUGUUGCACACGUCGGUGCGGUACAACACAGUACUCAACGUCCUACAUCCGGUCGAAUUCAAGGUUCUUUCUUCAAGCGCACACGAUGCUCUCUAACGUCGGUUAAGACAGGUUUUACACGUUUGCAACCAUAGCUGUUUUUGGCGGCCUGUUCCUUUCUAGUGUUAGUCUAGUCUUGUGUCAAGCUUUUUUAUUAGUUUUAGUUACAUUCAUACUCUUUCCAGUGUUAUCGUAAUUCCAUUUAGAUAUUAUCGAAGUUACAAGUGCGUAGUUUUGUUAAAUAAGGUAAACGGUUGAAAAUUGAUGUUAUGUCUGGAACAGUUGAAGUUCCAGUUGAACAAAAUAACGUUAUAAGUCUUUAUCACCUAGUUUAGGUCAACGAAAAUGAAGACAUUUUAGCAGUCUUAUUUUCGUAAAACACUUUUUAGUCUUGUUUUAUUCGCCAACUAUAUUGUACUAUGCUUUUAAUCACAGCUAUUGUCACACGCCCAGCAUCCACGUUGCGUCCAGUCUCGUUUUUCUAACGCGAUAAAGGCUUGUUGAUGACGACUUAGUCAUAAUUUUCAUUGCCAAAAGCAACACUAUUCUGGCGGCCUGUUUCCAUUCCAGGGUUAUUCUAGUCUUAGUGUCUAGCUGUUUUAGUCUAUUCGUUUUAGUUACGUCUAUAUUCUUUCUAGUGUUAUCGAAAUAUAUUGCACUAUGUAUUUAACUACAGUUAUUGUCACACGCCCAACAUGCACGUUGCGUCCUGUUUGUUGUUUGUUUGUUUGUUUGUUUUUCUUUCUCACGCGAUAAAGGUUCGUGAUGACGAUAUUUUGUCAUUAUUUUCGUUGCUAAAAGCGACAUUAUUUGCAACUACUGGUGGUGGUGGUUAUCAGGUACUAAAUUCAUAAAGCAAAAUUCGGUUUCAUAACUCAGGUUAACCUGCAGCAACCCCGGCGAGUGUG